UACGAAGGGUGCAAGCGUUACUCGGAAUUUACUGGGCGUAAAGCGUGCGUAGGUGGUUUGUUUAAGUCUGAUGUGAAAGCCCUGGGCUCAACCUGGGAAUUGCAUUUGGAUACUGGCAGGCUAGAGUGCGGUAGAGGGUAGUGGAAUUCCCGGUGUAGCAGUGAAAUGCGUAGAGAUCGGGAGGAACAUCUGUGGCGAAGGCGAACUGACCUGGA
rnacentral:rRNA from 1 species